UCAGGUAUGGCUCAAUUGGUUAGAGCGCUGGACUUUGACUCCAGAGAUUGUAGGUUCAAUUCCUUCUACCUGAU
rnacentral:tRNA from 1 species